rnacentral:lncRNA from 1 species
AUGAAACUUGGAUUUCAAAGAUCAAGAAUGGCCCGAAAAGAACGAAAUCAUUUUAGCAGUCAACUUUAUGGAAAAGAAAAGAUCCUGCAGACAUACCUAAUACUGGAGCUGAUGAUUUUUACUCUCGGGUUCCCUAAGUCACAAACUUUGCCAAGUUUUUUUCCGGAAACCUUCCUUCCUAAACUGGCUCAAAGGAAAAUAACGAUGGCUGAAGUUGGAAAAUGCGUACUUCGAGUUACGACGUCUAAAUGCCGGAAUCCUUUAAAAAUUGUGGCAGAACAUGGUUCUAUUACGCCUUCUAGCUAUGUGUCUUCCCUUGACAUUUUAUUUGUAAAACUUAAAUUAACGAUCUACUUCGCCUUUUAGCUACGUUCUUCCCUUGACAUUUUGUUUGUAAAACGUAAAUUAACGGAUCCAUUGCGCCUUUUAGCUAUGUGUCUUCCCUUGAAAUGUUUUUUGUAAAACGUGAAUUAAAGCUGCAUGAAACAGUGCGAACAUACUAUGUUUAUUCGUUCGGUUUACUACUCGAAUACAAACUUUUACGAUCUAUGCCUUCGUCUACUUUUAGCUUAAUAUCUCAAGGUCUACAGGGUGGCUUCUUUGAGAAAAAAAAGCUAAACCGUGUCUCUAUAGGCAUGGCAGAUCCGGUUUUUUGCCAUAAAUUGAAAUCGAAACCUGUAUUUAGCAAAAUGAGUUCGAUAUCACAAUGUUUGUUACUUUGAUGUAGAUUCAAGUAAAAAAAUUUAAAAAAUGUGCUCACUUGCAAAGCCCACGGUGUGAGUUUCUUGGCGGCAUUUUUAAAGUAAAGCGCUUCAGCGUAGCACUGGGCGUUCCUCGUCUUCAGCGGGGCGUAGAGCUCUAAAAAGGGAUUUAGAGAGAAGAAAACGGCAUUGGUAGAAGCACUGAGGCCCUGUCCAAAAUACGAACAGAAGAUCCCUGCAAUGAGCAAGGCCCACGCCCGUCCCUGCGCCCAACAACACAUCGCGAUCACGAUUUUCAGGCCGAAAUUUUAAGCGCAGGGCGCAUUUUUCGCGACGACGCGUAACCGCCGCGGUUUCGGCGAUAACUGCCAUCGGCCCGCGCGGAUUGAAUAAAAAAACACUUCGACGUGCGCAGUUGCCAAAUUUGUUGAUAAGAGAACAAAGAGAGUAAAUAUUUUUUUUAUUUCAACUGAAAAACAUUAUUAAUGAAAAUGCAAACGAAGUGGAAAAAAAUCGACACAUUUGUUUUUAAAAAAAAAAAUGGCAUUGAAAUAUGGCUUUUAUUUUUAAAGUUAAGGUAAUUGUCGGUCUACAAUGACGGUUUUCUAAUCUUAUUUUUACCAGGAGCAUAUUUUUCCUUUGAUUUUAAAAAUAGAUCUUUUAAUAUUUUUAUUUCCAUUUUUCAGUACAUUUAAUAAUAUUUGUAUGAAUUAUUGCGAAACUGAACCAACUCUUCGCCAUAUUUUGCUGGAUAGUAGGAGGUCGGGUAAUCGAAGGCAAAAAAUGUAUAAAUAACAGUGGGAGCUUGGAUCCCCCCCUACCCCCAGCAACGAUUGACGGUGGGUGAAUUCGCAAGUCUAAUAAUUGCCAAAGAAUGAAAUUUCACACACUUCUACAAAAUUUGACAACCUAAUAGAAUCAACAAGGAAAAGAUUAGAUUAAAGUACUUCG